rnacentral:rRNA from 1 species
CCUACGGGAGGCAGCAGUGGGGAAUAUUGCGCAAUGGGCGAAAGCCUGACGCAGCGACGCCGCGUGAGGGAUGAAGGUCUUCGGAUCGUAAACCUCUGUCAGCAGGGAAGAACGGGCACUGUGCUAAUCAGCAGUGAAUUGACGGUACCUGCAAAGGAAGCACCGGCUAACUCCGUGCCAGCAGCCGCGGUAAUACGGAGGGGGCGAGCGUAAAUCGGUAUUACUGGGCGGAAAGCGCGCGUAGUCGGUACGUCCAGUCAUGGGUGAAAUCCCCGCGCUCAACGUGGGAACUGCCUUUGAAACUGGCAAACUGGAGUGUGUGAGAGGAUAGUGGAAUUCCCGGUGUAGGAGUG